CUGGGUCUGCCGGCCCUCUCCUCGGUGCUGAGCCCACAGGCUUCCUCCUGCACCCCGCCGUCCCGAACCGCUUUACUCUGCGCAGUCUUCAGGCAGUGCCUACGAUCUUCGAGCCAGUCCCUUGAAAGAGGCAAUUGCAGGCAUUGGGACAGAUCAAAAGCUGAACUGGGAGAGCGCGGCAGCUGCAGAAUACCAAAGAUGAGCCCAGAGCAGCCCACCUCACCCUCCUGUGGCAUGAAUGCACAGGUCUGUAGCUGCACCAGCUUUCCCACUGCCGUCUGACAUUUCUGGAUUUGCUUCUGCACCUAGCACAGUGCUCCAUAAACUAAAAAUAGUGCAACCCAUCAGUACACAGGGCCGCUUAAGAGCCAAGCACUCAGGCUCCAGUACUCAGCAACUUGACUGCCAGAGACUUGGGCUUCCCCAACUCUCAAGUUCAACUUGCCUUCUUCACCCAGCCACCUCCACACACCAGCUUGGUUUCAGGAGUGCUUGGGACAACAGGCAGAAUCAUAUCCCUCCUGGGCAAAGCCUUGCUUUUUGUCCAUAUAAAUCUCUUCCUGGGUGAGGACAUGAUGGGGGAAAGGUGCAGCAAGAGGUCAAGGAGUGGGGGAGGCUGUCCCUAAGAGACCUACAGCCCACCAGCCCGGUUUCUGCCAGCACUGCCUCGAGACAGGCAGGCAGUGAGCAUGGGGUCAGGGAUGGGGGCCCUAGAGGGACCUGUCAGAGCUCCCUGACUGGAAUUUUACUUUGUUAUUUUAAUGCAAUUCUGACCUGGAUUUAAAUGGAAUUGGAAAUCUGAAGACUUAAUAAAUAAAUAUUAUGAUAAGAAAUGAGAGCCAUGCAAGACGCAAGAGAUUUUCCCCCAAAGAGCCAGAAGGUGAUUGAUAUUCUUGCCGGGAGCCAGAGUCACAGAAAUUUGCUUCUUUUCUUCAGUCCCCUACCCUCCAGUGGGAGAUGAAUUCAUUUUUUCUUAAAAGAUCCUAUUUUUCUUGAACGUUUUUCUACUGAUAAGACAACAACUUCGAAACUUCUGUCUAACUUUGCAUGAGGGUUGGGGUGAGGGGAAGAACUAUGUGACAUGGCUGAGAAGUUUUCAUUCCCUCAGCCUUUCCAGGCCACAACUUCAGUUUCCGGCAAUGUUUAAGAAAAGGCAAGAUUUUCUUUCCCACUUUCGGACUACACGAAAUCUUUCGAAGAUGCUGGGGUGGCAGUGAAGUCGGGCAGAAUUCUGAGGUGCGUGGUCACUUCUGCCCAGGGCCCCCCAGACUUCUCACUCAUCCGUGCCGCCCCACGGCUCCUCCAGCCUUCCGUCCUGAGCGCAGCUCCCAGAGGUCAGGUCCCCGGCUGAGGAGUUACGGGUG